rnacentral:rRNA from 1 species
CCUACGGGUGGCAGCAGUGAGGAAUAUUGGUCAAUGGGCGCGAGCCUGAACCAGCCAAGUAGCGUGAAGGAUGACUGCCCUACGGGUUGUAAACUUCUUUUAUAAAGGAAUAAAGUGAGGCACGUGUGCCUGUUUGUAUGUACCUGAUGAAUAAGGAUCGGCUAACUCCGUGCCAGCAGCCGCGGUAAUACGGAGGAUCCGAGCGUUAUCCGGAUUUAUUGGGUUUAAAGGGAGCGUAGAUGGGUUGUUAAGUCAGUUGUGAAAGUUUGCGGCUCAACCGUAGAAUUGCAGUUGAUACUGGCAGCCUUGAGUGCAGGUGAGGUAGGCGGAAUGCGUGGUGUAGCGGUGAAAUGCUUAGAUAUCACGCAGAACUCCGAUUGCGAAGGCAGCCUACUGGACUGCCACUGACGUUGAUGCUCGAAAGUGUGGGUAUCGAACAGGAUUAGAUACCCGGGUAGUC